UACGAAGGGGGCUAGCGUUGCUCGGAAUCACUGGGCGUAAAGCGCACGUAGGCGGACUUUUAAGUCGGAGGUGAAAUCCUGGAGCUCAACUCCAGAACUGCCUUCGAUACUGAGAGUCUUCGAGUUCGGGAGAGGUGGGUGGAACUGCGAGUGUAGAGGUGAAAUUCGUAGAUAUUCGCAAGAACACCAGUGGCGAAGGCGGCUCACUGGCCCGAUACUGACGCUGAGGUGCGAAAGCGUGGGGAGCAAACAGG
rnacentral:rRNA from 1 species